GACGAACGCUGGCGGCGUGGAUUAGGCAUGCAAGUCGAACGGUAGGAUACCUUCGGGUAUCUGAGAGUGGCGAACGGGUGAGUAACACGUAGGUGAUCUACCCUCAAGAUUGGGACAACCCAGGGAAACUUGGGCUAAUACCGGAUGAAAGCAGCAGUGAUGUUGUUUGAAAGGUGGCGUAAGCUGCCGUUUGGGGAUGAGCCUGCGCUCUAUUAGUUAGUUGGCGGGGUAAAGGCCCACCAAGGCGAUGAUAGAUAGGCGGCCUUAACGGGUGGUCGCCCACACUGGGAUUGAGAUACGGCCCAGACUCCUACGGGAGGCAGCAGUCGAGAAUAGUCUACAAUGGCCGAAAGGCUGAUAGUGCGACGCCGCGUGAACGAAGAAGCCCUUCGGGGUGUAAAGUUCUUUUAUAUGUGAGCAGUGCUUUCUAUGUGAACAGCAUGGGGAGAGAGAUAUUAGCAUAUGAAUAAGCAACGGCUAACUCCGU
rnacentral:rRNA from 1 species